UUGACCGGACACAACAAGCAUCGCGGACGAUUUUCUGCCUGUGUAGUCCUUUCAAGAUCUUGCCACAUUUGAUGUCAAACUCGUUCACCGGGCUACAAAACACGCCUUGGUAAUUAACUUAUGUUUUAUAACUGUUUUAGUCUGAAACACACAUUUACUAAUUGUUUGCUUGAUGUUUUAUUAAAUUUCGUAUGCAUGUUACUGUAACAUAUACAGAUCUUACUCUACACUCACUUUAGUUGGGCGUUCCACAAAUUUCUACAACUAGGAUAACUCGCAAAGUUUUCAAUUUUCCUGUCUCUAAAUUUAAACUGAAUAUUAGCAACGCUGAUAAAUAAUAUACAUUUAAAUCCUUAUUUGUCUUCAUCUUCAGUCCACUGAAUGGUCACAAUAUUUCUAGUUCUGCUGAAUUAUACAAUUUUUUAUCAAUUCGGUUGUUUUAGAUCCAUUGUCUUAGCUUCGUAGGUGGCUCGUCUGCUAAAGACAUUGUUAGGAGAACAAUAUCGCAGACGUUGAACCAUGUCGUGGCCCAUAAAAAUGAACUGGGUGGGAAAGAAAGGAUGGAAGGGGACCGGUGACGUCCCGAAGAGAGCAUUUUGUGGACUCCAUCUCUGUUAUGCUGUCAGAAAACAAGCUGUACUCGGCAACAGCGGAUCAAGUUGAAAGAGAAAUCAUGGUCUGGCUGAGAAAAACAGCUGACCGCCAGGGAGAAAGACGGCAGAGAGUGGUGAACAAAGAAGGCGCAGUGAAGAAAACCAUUCAAAAUAACAAAUUACACGACAUAAACUAGAAUGGAAUAAUAAACCAUCGUCUAAUUUUAAUUCACACUUUUGGGCUUUAGUUCAUCUUUUGAUGUUGGCUAAUUGUUAAUGGUGUACUGGUCAAUCUUUAUUACUUCUGUAUUUGUUAUUUCGGGUUUUAAAAAUAAAAAAAACAUGCAUUUGCAUUAUAAAGCUUUCGGGGCAUAUUAGAAACUGUUUCAACGCUUCCUUGUUAUCUGAUUUCAAAUCAUAUUGUAAAACACAUAUACAGACUUACACAAGAUUGACCAAACUCCUUGCAUAUUUAAACCCAAUUUUAGUAUCGGUAUUAGUCAAUUACUAUAUUCACUCGAACUUAUCAGUGAUUUGUGAAGUAUAGCCAGUGAAUGUUCUUUCUGUACAUGAUCGAUUGACCUUGGUUUCCUUUCUUCCCCGUUUGCCAACAGUCGAUCCAUUCAAGCAGUUUUAAUCGUGAUAGAUAUUCUUCCGAUCAGUGGACACAUACUCAGUGUUAGAUGGUAACUGGCUUUAAUAUUUUUUAGCAUCAACUGUUUUUUAUUUUUUAAAUUCCCUCAGGAUCAGACAGAUUUAUACAUCUACUGGCUGAAUUCAGGCGACAACUGGUUACUAAAUGGGUAUUAACCGGUGGGUAUGACUGGGGCGGUGAUGUACAACCGGCUCUGGCCCUGUACGGGUUUGAUAAUGGAUUGAUACCACUCAACAUGAUUGGCCCAAUACCGGUUUCUCACAACUGGUCCCGUGUCGUUCACCAACGACACGGGUUCAGCUGCGCCAUACGGGCUCAGUACCGAAAAAUUUGAAUUGGCCCAGUUUUGGUACAAAGCAGCCUAGUAGCGGUCCGAUUGGGGCUAUUUGUACAGACCCAAUCUGAAGCCACUGUGCACGCUGGUAUGCUGGACCAGUACCGGCCUAGUUUGUAAAUGUUAUCUGGGUAAGUGUAAUGUUCGUGAGUUCGACGGAAAACUUCAAAUAAUUAAAUAAAUAUCUAUUUACCGGUAUGUAUUUAUUUGAUUGGUGAUUGGUACGACGGUGGCCAGCAUUAUGGUGGUAGAAAACAGGACAGAGCCUAGGGGAAACCCACGACCAUCCGCAAGUUGCUGGGAGGCCUUCCCACUUACGACCGGAGGGGAAAUAUAAAUACUUACCAGGAUGGACGACGUAAACUGAGGAUAGCUGAGGAUAUAUCCGAUUUACAGACGGUCGCUGAGGAAGAUUUGGGGAGAGGAAGUAGAUGUUACUAUUUCAUUUAUGCAUAUGGUUUGACACUUGCUAGCGAAUUCUAGCGAAUUAAGGUUUCUAAGAACCUAAUGGAUUGUAAUAAUGUUGUACUAUUUAAUGUGCAUUCUGUAUAUGUUUGUGUCAUAUUGAUCAUCAGCAAAUAAUUCCCUUGCAGACGCAAACAAAAGAGAUAUUCCUCAAGCGAAAGUAAUGACGACGAAGCCCCUCAUGCCAACGCAGCCGAAGCAAAUACGUCUAGCACCUUCACCUGCUCUGCCAGGUUUUCCAGCAGUGGAACGGCAUUCGACUUACCCCUCCAAGGAGAGCCAGUUACAUG